ACCUUUGCCCCACCUCUGGUUUACUGACCCCUGCCUGCCUUGACCUGUCUAUUGCCUUCCCCUGACCCUGACCCUGCCUGCCGUCCGGUACCGUUGCCCCACCUCUGGUUUACUGACCCCUGCCUGCCUUGACCUGUCUAUUGCCUGCCCCUGACCCUGCCUGCCGUCCGGUACCAUUGCCCCACCUCUGGUUUACUGACCCCUGCCUGCCUUGACCUGUCUAUUGCCUGCCCCUGACCCUGCCUGCCGUCCGGUACCAUUGCCCCACCUCUGGUUUACUGACCCCUGCCUGCCUUGACCUGUCUAUUGCCUGCCCCUGACCCUGCCUGCCGUCCGGUACCAUUGCCCUACCUCUGGUUUACUGACCCCUGCCUGCCUUGACCUGUCUAUUGCCUGACCCUGUUGGAUUAUUAAACCAUUGUUAAUUCAACGUUGUCUGCAUCUGGGUCUUACCUUCAUACCUGACAACCUAUGUACAUAGUCAUUGAACACUGGUCACUUUAAUAAAGUUUACAUACUGUUUUAGCCACUUCAUAUGUACAGUACAUAUAUAGUUAUAUUCCUGACAAUGCUCAUUCUAAUAUUUCUAUAUUUCUUAAUUAUAAUUUUUGGGCGAUUUGUGUGUAUUGUUCUUUAUUGUUAGGUAUUUCUGCACUGUUAGAGCCAGGAACAUAAGCAUUUCACGACACCCGCAAUGACAUCUGCAAAAGAUAUGUACGCGACCAAUACCAUUUGAUUUGACAAAAAUGCCUAUGUAGUGAAUUGUGCGUAGACCUAUGAAAUAUGUGACUGUCUGAAGAGUCACAAUGACAGCUCAAAGAGGCUCACAUUAUUUUAUAGGCUAUAUGUUAGGGGUUUCCUGUAGGGUUUAUUAACUGCAUUCAGUUUGCGUGUGCAGCCCAGCAGUGUCAAUUAUGCAUGUGGUUUGAAUUUAUGGCGAUGUUGUGUGAAGUAAAUAUGCUAGGCUAAAGGCUUUCAUGCAGCAACCUGUUUAGAUAAUGUGCUAUAAAAAAAUUAUACUCUGCUUCUGCGCAUGUUGUGUAUUUUGUGGAAUUGCAUUAGUGGAACAAUGGGAUUUGUUUUGUUAAUUUCCCAGGUCUUGUCAUGACAUUUCUUAGGGAAAUGUGAAGAGCGUUCCCGGGACAGUCCCGGGAUCCCGGUUAUCCAUGUUCAUCCCGAGUGGAUUUCUGUUAGCACAAAGCGCUACAUGUCUACAGGCUAAAUACUAACGACAAGGUUGUGUGAUCAGUUCAAUCUUGACAUGAGCCAGUAUAACGCAACACUGGCCUCUCAUUAGUGUCAUCAGUUGUGUCAAGGAAUCAAUUAAUCAAUCAGAAAAUGAGCUUCUCUAUUCACAUGAGCCUUGUUAAGCAUUUUAAUGAGUGACUGGAUGAAUUAGAGGCAUAGCCCAGCAGAGAGAGAGAAGCCUUUCAGAGGUCAAAUCUGAUGGUAGCCUUGGGAGGAACAGACUGAGUCUUGAGGGGGGUAGGAAAAGCCAACAGGCACUCUGGUAGUCUGGCAGGUCUUAAAUUAGGCUGCUUAUCUAAUGUUCAACCAUAAUGACAUCAGAUGAAACAUUUAGGUCAUUAUAAUGACAUCAGGUGAAACAUUUAGGUCAUUAUAAUGACAUCAGGUGAAACAUUUAGGUCAUUAUAAUGACAUCAGGUGAAACAUUUAGGUCAUUAUAAUGACAUCAGGUGAAACAUUUAGGUCAUUAUAAUGACAUCAGGUGAAACAUUUAGGUCAUUAUAAUGACAUCAGGUGAAACAUUUAGGUCAUUAUAAUGACAUCAGGUGAAACAUUUAGGUCAUUAUAAUGACAUCAGGUGAAACAUUUAGGUCAUUAUAAUGACAUCAGGUGAAACAUUUAGGUCAUUAUAAUGACAUCAGGUGAAACAUUUAGGUCAUUAUAAUGACAUCAGGUGAAACAUUUAGGUCAUUAUAAUGACAUCAGGUGAAACAUUUAGGUCAUUAUAAUGACAUCAGGUGAAACAUUUAGGUCAUUAUAAUGACAUCAGGUGAAACAUUUAGGUCAUUAUAAUGACAUCAGGUGAAACAUUUAGGUCAUUAUAAUGACAUCAGGUGAAACAUUUAGGUCAUUAUAAUGACAUCAGGUGAAACAUUUAGGUCAUUAUAAUGACAUCAGGUGAAACAUUUAGGUCAUUAUAAUGACAUCAGGUGAAACAUUUAGGUCAUUAUAAUGACAUCAGGUGAAACAUUUAGGUCAUUAUAAUGACAUCAGGUGAAACAUUUAGGUCAUUAUAAUGACAUCAGGUGAAACAUUUAGGUCAUUAUAAUGACAUCAGGUGAAACAUUUAGGUCAUUAUAAUGACAUCAGGUGAAACAUUUAGGUCAUUAUAAUGACAUCAGGUGAAACAUUUAGGUCAUUAUAAUGACAUCAGGUGAAACAUUUAGGUCAUUAUAAUGACAUCAGGUGAAACAUUUAGGUCAUUAUAAUGACAUCAGGUGAAACAUUUAGGUCAUUAUAAUGACAUCAGGUGAAACAUUUAGGUCAUUAUAAUGACAUCAGGUGAAACAUUUAGGUCAUUAUAAUGACAUCAGGUGAAACAUUUAGGUAAUUAUGGUGAGGUUACAAAAUGUCAAAAAGUAAAAGUCUUUGUUUAAUCAUUCAUCUCACUAAAUUAAAUUACAGCGCCCAAACUGUCAAGCUUUUUAAUAAAUUAAUGAGCCGAGGAAGAAGUUGUUCAGACUGGAACAACAGAUACAGUUGAAGUGGGACGUUUACAUACACCUUAGCCAAAUACCUUUAAAAUGACCUGUUUUAGGUCAGGAUCACCACUUAAUUUUAAGAAUGUGAAAUGUCAGAAUAAUAGUAGAGAGAAUUAUAUAUUUCAGCUUUUAUUUUUUUCAUCACAUUCCCAGUGGGUCAGAAGUUUACAUACACUCAAUAAGUAUUUGGUAGUAUUGCCUUUAAAUUGUUUAACUUGGGCCAAAAGUUUCAGGUAGCCUUCCACAAGCCUCCCACAAUAAGCUGGGUGAAUUUUGGCCCUUUCCUCCUGCUCCUUGCUCGCACACGCUUUUUCAGUUCUGCCCAGACAUUUUCUACAGGAUUGAGGUCAGGACUAUGUUAUGGCCACUCCAAUACCUUGACUUUGUUGUCCUUUGUUUGCCAAAACUUUGGAAGUUUCCUUGGGGUCAUUGUCCAUUUGGAAGACCACUUUGCGACCAAGCUUUAACUUCCUGACUGAUGUCUUAAGAUGUUGCUUCAAUACAUCCACAUAAUUUUACUUAUUCAUGAUGCCAUCUAUUUUGUGAAGUGCACCAGUCCCUCCUGCAGCAAAGCACCCCCACAACAUGAUGCUGCCACUCCCGUGCUUAAACUUCUGGCCCACUGGAAUUGUGAUACAGUGAAUUCUAAGUGAAAUAAUCUGUCUGUAAACAAUUGUUCACAAAAAUAUUCAUCCGCCAGUCAAUGUAUUGUCUAUGGCGAUAGAAAAUAGAUGAGGUCCCGUUUACAAUGCCUACAGCUUCCAAACGAUGUCGCCAGUACUGGCAUUUCAUUGCAUGUUUAUCCUUGGUGGGAUGACGUAUAGGCACUUCCUGUCUUGGGGUCCACCGAGGAAGUUAUGAAAGUGAAAAAAUGGAUGAUGAUUUCAAGACUUGCUGCUAUCGAAUACAGAUCGCCCCGUGAUCAAUUUUAUCGAUUAUUAACAUUUAUUAAUACCUGAAGUUGGUUUACAAAAUUAGUUUGAAGUGAUUUGUAAAAGUUUAUUGGCAACUUUUUUAAUUUUAAAAAGUGACGUUGCGUAUUGUAAAGGUGAAUUUUCCUGGAUCAGACGGCCUUCAUAAAUGGACAUUUUGGGUAUACAAUGACGGAUUUAAUCGGGAAAAAGACCCAAUUGUGAUGUUUAUGGGACAUAUAGAAGUGCCAACAAAGAAGCUUGUCAAAGGUAAUGAAUGUUUUAUAUUUUAUUUCUGCGUUUUGUGUAGCGCCGGCUACCGCUAAUUAUUUUGUUUAGGCCUCAUUCAGGUAUUUUGGGGGGUGCAUGCUAUCAGAUAAUAGCUUAUCAUGCUUUCGCCGAAAAGUAUUUUACAAAUCGGACAUGUUGGCUAGAUUCACAACGAGUGCAGCUUUAACUGAGUACCUUGCAUGUGUGUUUUAAUGAAAGUUUGAGUUUUAUCGAGUACUACAGUUGGCGCUCUGAAAUUUCCGCUGAUUUUGGUGGGGGCUAAUGAGAGCUGAAUGAGUCAGGGCACUGCCAGACUGGCAUGAGCUGAUCACGCGUGCUCACGUGAGAGUUAGCUCUGUUCCAUUGCAUUUCUACAGACAAAGGAAUUCUCCGGUUGGAACAUUAUUGAAGAUUUAUGAUAAAAACAUCCUAAAGAUUGAUUAACGGGAUCUUUGCGGAUCUCAGCCAUAAGAGGUUUAAUGCAUUUGAGCCAAUCAUUUGUGUUGUGACAAGGGGUGGUAUACAGAAUAUAGCCCUAUUUGGUAAAAGACCAAGUCCAUAUUAUGGCAAAAACAGCUCAAACAAGCAAAGAGAAACGACAGUCAUUAUUUUAAGAUAUGAAGGUCAAUCAAUGCGGAAAAUUAAAAGGAAUUUGAAAGUUUCUCUCAUGAGGAUUGCCACAGGAAAGAAAGACCCAGAGUUACCCUGCUGCAGAGCAUAAGUUCAUUAGAGUUAACUGCACCUCAGAUUGCAGCCCAAAUAAAUGCUUCACAGAGUUCAAGUAAGAGACACAUCUCAACAUCAACUGUUCAGAGGAGACUGUAUGAAUCAGACCUUCAUGGUCAAAUUGCUGCAACGAAACCACUACUAAAGGACACCAAUAAGAAGAAUAGACUUGCUUUGGCCAAGAAACACGAGCAAUUGAAAUUAGACCGGUGGAAAUCUGUCCUUUGGUCUGAUGAGUCCAAAUGAGAGAUUUUUGGUUCCAAUAAUGUCUUUAUGAGAUGCAGAGUAGGUGAAUGGAUGAUCUCUGCAUGUGUAGUUUCCAUCGUGAAGCAUGGAGGACGAGGUGUGAUGGUGUGGGGGUGCUUUGCUGGUGACACUGUCAGUGAUUUAUUUACAAUUCAAGGCACACUUAACCAGCAUAUCUACCCCAGCAUUCUGCAAUGACACACCUUCCCAUCUAGUUUGUGCUUAGUGGGACUAUAAUUUUUUUUCAACAGGACAGUGACCCAACACACCUCCAGGCUGUGUAAGGGCUAUUUGACCAAGAAUAAGAGUGAUGUAGUGCUGCAUCAGAUGACCUGGCCUCCCCAGUCACCCAACCUCAACUCAAUUUAGAUGGUUAGGGAUGAGUUGGACCUCAGAGUGAAGGAAAAGCAGCCAACAAGUGCUCAGCAUAUGUGGGAACUCCUUCAAGACUGGUGGAAAAGCAUUCCAGGUGAAGCUGGUUGAGAGAAUGCUAAGAGUGUGCCAAGCUUUCACCAUGGCAAAAGGUGGCUACUUUGAAGAAUCUCAAAUAUAUAAUAUAUUUUGAUUUGUUUAACCUUUCUAGCGCAGGGGAACCCUUUAGACAACAUUCCUCUGAAAAGGCAGAGCGCGAAAUUCAAAAAUAUUUUUUUUAAAUAUGUAACUUUCACACAUUAACAAGUCCAAUACAGCAAAUGAUAGGUGAACAUCUUGUUAAUCUACCCAUCAUGUCCGAUUUAAAAAAUGCUUUACAGCUAAAGCACAACAUAUGAUUAUGUUAGAUCACUGCCAAGUCGAUUAAACACACAGUUAUUUUCCAGCCAAAGAUGGAGUCACAAAAAGCAGAAAUAUAGAUCAAAUGAAUCACUAACCUUUGAUGAUCUUCAUCAGAUGACACUCAUAGGACAUCAUGUUACACAAUACAUGUAUGUUUUGUUCG